AAUCAACGCUGGCGGCGUGCCUAACACAUGCAAGUCGAACGAGAAAGGGACUUCGGUCCUGAGUAUAGUGGCGCACGGGUGAGUAACACGUGACUAAUCUACCCUCGAGUGGGGAAUAACUGAGAGAAAUCUUAGCUAAUACCGCAUAACACUUACGAGUCAAAGCAGCAAUGCGCUUGGGGAGGAGGUCGCGGCCGAUUAGCUAGUUGGCGGGGUAAUGGCCCACCAAGGCGAUGAUCGGUAUCCGGCCUGAGAGGGCGCACGGACACACUGGAACUGAAACACGGUCCAGACUCCUACGGGAGGCAGCAGUGGGGAAUUUUGCGCAAUGGGGGAAACCCUGACGCAGCAACGCCGCGUGGAGGAUGAAGUAUCUCGGUACGUA
rnacentral:rRNA from 1 species